CAAUACACAGAGUGAUCGGUCGACGCGAGGCGACUGCGGAACCUGAACUCCCCGGCGCCUGGAAGAAAUUUUUGAACAAUCCGUUGAUGAAGCAGUCUGGAGUAGUGAAGCCGGUAGACGCAAAAAGUUUUUGGGCGAAAUAUAGAGACGAUGUGGAGUGCUAUGUUGGAAGUGAUUAUCGCCAUUGGGGUUUUAUUAAUUUUUCGAUUGUUGACGGGACGGUCGACGUAGGGGAGGUACGAUAGAGUGUUAGAUGGUAUGGGCAACCGGAAGGACGCUGAGAGAGGAGGUAUGGUGUAGCCUCGUACACUGUCACAAUUCAUUGACCCUCGAUGGACGGUGGGGAGAAAUUGCAGCAAUCAACGGUGGAUUGAACCGUCCGCAGAAUGUCCGUUUGGAUAAUACGUCCGUCCCGAAAAAUCGCCCUAUACAUAUAAUACAAUUAGUAGUUAAUUACAUAUGAUUGAUAUAAAUACAUUGUAAACUCUUUCUCUAGAGGUCAAUAGAUAUGAUUCUUCUUUUCCCAAUUACUUGUUGAGCACUAUCUAAGAUUGUAUCGGCCCCUUUGCUCCAUUGUAAUUUUUUCCCGGAAAAGACUUUAUCGCAAUAACUGCUUGCGAUUUCCGUCGGCCCUGCAUUCUCGUCUUGACAUUCGCCACUUCUUUUUCCAACACAUUCGCGAUUUCCAGUCUUGUUAUUUGCGUCUGCAUUUCCGAUCUGCACAUCCGUUGCUUCCGUUUUUGUGAUUUCUUGACACUCGCGAUUUCCAGAUCUUGCUGUGAUUUCUGAUCGAUUUCCAGAUCUUGUUGUGACAUUCGCGAGUAGAUUUCCAGAUCGAUUUCCGUUUUAGUUGUGAUCGAUUUCCGGUGAUGCUGCUUCCGUUCCAGAUCAGGAAUCAAAUCGAUUUCGCCGCUGCUCGAUUUGAAAUUGAUUCCGUGUUCGCCACUGCUCGAUUUCACGAUCUACUGCGAUCUGAAAUUGAUUUCGGUUUGCAUUUUUCUUCUGAUCAGGAUUCUGCACAUCACGAUUCUUCCGAUUUGCAUUUCCGUUGCUGCUGUCUCGCAAUUUCACAUCCGUGAUUCCAGAUCGAUUCCGUGAUUUCGCCGCUGCAUUCCAGAGAAAUCGAUUUCUGCACAUAUCCAGAUCCGUUUGCAAUCCGAUCAGAUUAUGUUUGCGAUUAGUUCUGCACAUACAUUCGCGACUUCUGCAAAUUUGCGAUUGUAGAUUUCCACGAUCAGGUAUCUUCUUUUUUAAAUAUUUUUUUUAUUUUAUCUUCUGUUGGCGGCAAGCGCUUGGAUCAGGUUUUAUUUUUUUUCUUCUUCUGUUGUAAUCUGCUGCGUUUGGAUCAGGUAAUUUUUUUUAAUUUUCAUUUUAUUUUAUUUCUCUUCUUCUUUUCUGCUAUUUGUUCUGCCAACUGCUAUCCAUGAGCAAUUAAGACACUUAAAGAAAACCGAUGAUGAGUCAAUAAGUGAUUUUGUCAUUAAGGUUCGUGCACUCACCGAUAGUCUAUCGGCCACCGGUGAGAGGAUUAGGGAUGUAGAUAUCAUUGAUUUUGUGACUGAUGGUCUAGGGCCAGAGUUUAGGUCAUUCACAACAUGUAUUAAUACUCAUCUACCUAAUAUGUCGUUCGAUGAUUUUCUUCAUCUUGUUAUCAAAGAAGAUCGGUUCAUGAAGAAGUGCUACAACUCGCAAAAUUCAGCCCCAACUCCGAUUGCUUUUGCAGCCAAAUAUAAUAAUCAGUCAAGAGGAUAGAAAAAUUUAAAUCAGUCAAGAGAACACAAUAACACAAACAAAAAUCACAAUUUAAACAAGAACUCCAACUCAAGAUGGAAAAGAAACUCCAAUGCUAAUUUUGUAAUCUGUCAACUAUGCGACAAGGUUGGACAUUCAGCCAAAACAUGUAGAAAAGGACUAAAAGCUCUUGUCGCUAUGGAUAACAACAAUAUUGAUGAAGAAGGAAGUUGGAUUUUAGACUUUGGUGGUUCUGCACAUAUGACUCCUGAGGCGGGAAAUUUAUCCGAUACUCAGGAAUACUCAGGUACAAGUUCUAUUAUAAUUGGUAAUGACUUAGGUUUAAAAAUUACUCAUAUUAGAACUGCUUCAAUUAAAUCUGAAAUGGUGAUAUUUUAAAACUUAAAAAUACUUUAUGUGUGCCUCAAUUAAAAAUGAAUCUUUUGUCUAUUCAAUCAAUGAGUAAAAAUCUAAAUAGUAAAUUUAUUUUAAAUGGUAAUAAUUUUAAAGUGAAAGAUAAUAACACAGGAUCUGUUCUUUUAAAUGGAAUAGGCUCAAAAGGAUUUUAUCAUUUGAAUUCCAUUUAUAACCUCACAAACAAUCAUAGGGUUAUGAUAGCAAAGAAAUCAGAUUCUUUACAAACUUGGCAUAGGAGGUGUGGACAUCCAUCCUCUAUCAUCUUAUCUAAAAUUUUUAAAACUUCUAAAAUACUAAAUAAAAGUAAUGCAUGUUUAGAAUGUCCCAAGUAAAUUAAAAAAGUUACCGUUCAAAUUUAGGAAAAGUUAUAACACAAAACCAUUAGAAACUUUACAUAUGGAUGUGUGGGGACCUGCCCCAAAAUCAUCUACUCUUAAACAUAAAUUCUACUUGUUAAUCAUAGAUGAAUAUACCAGGUUUUCUUGGUUUUUCCCAUUAAAAUAUAAAUCUCAAAUGUUUGACACUUUUAGAGAUUUUCAUAAAAUGAUUGAGAAAUCUUUAGAACUCUCAAUUAAAUCUAUUCAAACUGAUGGGGGUGGUGAAUUUCAGAAUUUGAAAUUUCAAAACCAUUGUAAAGAAUUUGGUAUCAAACAUAAAUUCUCAUCUCCAUACACCCCAGAGCAAAAUGGGUUAGUUGAGAGAAAACAUGGACACUUGAUUUCAACAACAAGAUGUUUUUUCUCUCAAUCAGACAUUCCACAUAAAUACUGGGUUGAAACUUGUUCUUCAGCCAUUUAUACAAUCAACAGACUACCGUCUAAAAAUUUAGGUUUUCAAUCACCUUUCUCUCUUCUCUACGAUAAAGAUCUAGAUUAUAGUUAUCUUAAAACAUUUGGAUCUCUAUGUUUUCUUUUAAUACCAAAACAAAUGAGAAAUAAAUUUCAACCAACCUCUACCCUUUGUUGUUUUUUAGGAUACUUACCCUCACACGAAGCAUACAAAUGCUUAAGAUUACAAGACUCACAAAUCCUCAUCUUUAGACAUGUUAAAUUCUAUGAAGAAAUUUCCCCCUUCAAAGAAUACAAACUAACUCAGAAUAUUACUAAAACAAGUAUAAUUCCUAUACUACCAUUUAAUCCUUUAAAUACAAAUAACACAACUACACUGCCAGAAGAAAGGGAUAUGAAUAAUGGAAAUAUUCAGAUUGAACCAAUUGAUGAAUACACUACUCCAAAUAUGCUCUUCCCAGACUCUACAGAAAGUACAAAUAAAGAGACAAAUGAUAAAACACAGGCAGUUACACAAACAUCAUCACCUAUUACUGAAACAGUAGGUACUUCAAAUCAAAAACAACUUGUUACUUCUACAAUACCUACAACAAUAGUCGAAGAAUGCCAUGAGCAUACUAAACUCAGAAGAUCUGAUAGAGAAACUCAAGUUCUUAAAAGAUAUGACAUCUAUGAACAUAAUAUACCUAAGGCUCUGAUAUAUGAAGUUAUCCAAGAUAACAACCUCAUCCCUAAAAACUACAAAGAAGCAAUACUAGUUCCAGAAUGGCAUAAAGCUAUGGAAGAGGAAUUUAAAGCACUAAAUGAUAACAACACUUGGUCUUUUGUAAAUCCUACCCCUGACAUGAACAUAAUAGAGACAAGAUGGGUAUUCAAAAUUAAGAGAAAAUCAGAUGGCUCUAUUGAAAGAUACAAAGCCAGGUUGGUUGCUCAAAGAUUUAAACAACAUAAGGAUAUAGAUUACAGUCUAAUUUACAAUCCUGUAGUUAAAUCAUCAACAUUAAGGAUAAUACUGUCUUUAGCUGUCUCUAACAAGUUCAAACUAAGACAAAUUAAUGUUAAAAACGCAUUUUUGCAAGGUGAUAUACUAGAGACAGUCUACAUCAAACAACCACCAGGUUUUGAGGAUUCUUCAAAACCUAAAUGUGUCUGUAAACUAAAUAAGGUCAUCUAUGGUUUAAAACAGGCCCCUAAGGCAUGGUAUUCAAGGUUAAGUAAUUUCUUAAUCUUAAAUGAAUUUGAAAACAGUUCUGCAGAUUCAUCGCUAUUUGUUUACAAUCAGGAUAAAAUUCUAAUUUGGGUACUUAUUUAUGUGGAUGAUUUAGUUAUUACAGAAAAUAACAGUGAUGAAGCUGAAAUUUUUAUUCAACAUCUUUGCAAUGAGUUCAAAUGUAGGGAUCUAGGUAUUCUUAAUUUCUUUCUAGGUAUUCAAGUCAUACACAAAUUUGAUGGAUCUUUAGAACUCAACCAGUCAAGAUAUGCCUUAGAUAUUUUAAGUAAAAAUAAUAUGCUAAACUGUAAACCUUGUAAGACUCCGGUAGUACCAGGAUCUAGGUUAAGUAAGGAUGAAGUAUCUCUUAUAGAAAAUAUUAUAGAAUUUAGAGGUCUAGUAGGGUCAUUGCAAUACUUGACUCAGACAAGGUCAGAUCUUACUUACUCUAUAAACCAAAUAGCAUAAUUUGUACAAGAACCAAAAACUACACACCUAGUUGCCGCUAAAAGAAUCUUAAGAUAUCUUAAAGGCAUAGUUAAUUACGGAUUAAAAUUUACAAAUAAUCCAAGUAAACACAGGAUAUGUGGUUACUGCGAUGUUGAUUUUGCUGGUGAUCCAGACACCAGGAGGUCAACCUCAGGAUUGUGUAUAUUCAUGAAUGGAAAUCUAGUCACCUGGUCAUCAAAGAAACAAAAUAGUGUUUCGAGAUCUAGUACAGAAGCAUAAUAUAGAUCUCUUGUUUCACUAGCUGAUGAGGUUCAAUGGACCUCAUACAUCUGCAGAGAUUUACACCACUCAAUUCAUGAAAUUCCAAACCCUUUAUCGUGACCACACAUCACCAAUUUUUAUGGCACAAAAUCCUGUAAUUAAAAAUAAAUCUAAACACAUUGAAACAGAUUUACAUUUUGUUAGAAAACUAAUCUCUAAACUAAAUAUUAAUGUAAUUCAUAUAUGUUCAGCUGAUCAAAUUUCUGAUAUCUUUACUAAAUCAGUUUCAAAUGUGAUUUUCUAUAGCUUGUGCAGAAGGUUAAAUAUGAUCUUCAAAGAAAGAUAAAGUUGUAUGGUCCGUAGAAGGGUUAAAUAAAGAUGUUGUUGAUGAUUGUUGUUGUUGAUGGAUACUACUCUAACAAAGUAUGAAUUGAUUAGCAAAUAUUAUGAAUUGAAGAAUAUUGGUGGAUAGUUAGGCAAAAGAAUGGGGUUUUCCAGAAAUUUUUUUUUUGAAAAGAUGCAAAAGAAUUGGAAGCAAGCUGGUUUUUUCAUCUAUUCCGCCUUACCAUACUACACUACAUCGCUCCUUCAAACAACAAAAAUGCAAAUCAAUAGGUUAUCAAUCUAAAAGCGUAUAAAGAUUGGGAGAGGGUAUCAAGAGUAUUACAAUCUAUAUAGCUUUUAUAUUUAUAAUACAGUUAGUAGUUAAUUACAUAUGAUUGAUAUAAAUACAUUGUAAACUCUUUCUUUAGAGGUCAAUAGAUAUGAUUGUUCUUUUCCCAAUUACUUGUUGAGCACUAUCUAAGAGCACACAUCCCCAUACAGACUUGAGCACUAUUGAGCUCAUAUUAGGUGAGUUCACUGAAAUUUUAUUCUAUUUUUAUAAUAAAAGUAAGAGCAAAUGUAAUGUGAAUCGAUGAUUCACAUUGAUCUAG
rnacentral:lncRNA from 1 species